CACACACACACACACCACAUACCACACACACACAUGUCAUGCCAAGAGCAAAUGCUCCCAUUGUUUCUGCUCUUUGUCCUAAUGCAGAACUGAGCGCGAUGAGGGUAAAUCCGGAUCUGGACUCCUUUCCCACCAUCAGCAGAAGAACCGAAGGAGAAGAAGCGCCGACCAACAACCAGAACAGGGUGGAAGCUCUGAUACCACAGCAGCUGGAGGACACAGACCACAGCAUGGACGCCUCAGCGACUCCCACAAUGUCUGCAGCCAUCAAGUUCUGGGCUCAUCAGAUGAACCAGCUACUACAAGCCCUGCACCAGCAGGAAAGGACUGUCUCUGAAGCUUCAGAGGCCGUGAAACUGUCAUACACGCAUGUGUGUCUGACACAGACACCUGCUUAUGACAAUCAGCAAAGGAAAACAAGGACAGAGCAACAGCAGAGUGAGAAGACGUGCUCUGACACAGACACUGGUUGAAACAACAGGAGAGACUUCAGACGUGAUCGGCCCAAAAGAGCUGCAUCUGAGGAUCCAGGAAACGUCUGUCAUCGAGGAACAACUGUCCCAUUGAAAGGCUUCACCCACUGGCGCUCACAUCAGACUGAUGGUUGGGGAAGGAGGAAGGUGACGGUUCCUUUUCACGUGACGUAGAAGACGUUCCACACGUCCCUCUGUGAAAACAUGAUGGAGACAGAUGCAGGACGUGGGUCCUUUCGUGAACAGAUGUCAACGGGGUGGAGACUGGUGAACGACUUCUGACCCCAUGUGACGUAUUCACCUACUUUGCAUACUUUUAGAAAACAUUUUUUUUAUUCUGCCCGUCAUGUGCAGCAAACAGUGAACUUGGUACCUCCACAUUCUAAUGACACACUACAUGUUUUUAUUUUCAUUUUUCAGAGGACGCUCUGAGCCAACACUCAGCCUUACAGGAAGCCCUGCUUCCCUGUGGCUCACACACAGACAUGAUGUAGAUUUGAUCAGAGGAUGUGAACCAGUGGUCAUCACACUUAAAUCUGACCACAGACCAUGUAAACAACAACACCCUCUUGAAAGAAGCCAUAGAUGGAGUUACUGCAGACACCACUAAGCUACUGAAACAUUGGAUGCUACAGGCCACAAAGAGCCUGUCUAAAUUACAGUUAGUUCAGACAAAGGUUAUUUUUCUGGGUCAUUGUAAUUACAGCUGAUGGCAAAUCCAUCUCACCCAACAGAGUUGAAGCAAUUUGAAACCUGCCUAAACCGUGCACGUAUAAACAGCUUAUGUCUUUUCUAGGUCUUUGUUCUUAUUGUAGGACUUUCGUUCCUAACUUUACCUUCUCUGAGGCCCCACUCAGGGUUCUGAUGCAGACGUCUUCAUUGUCCACUUCUUGUCUCACGUGGACGUCUGAGGCUGAACAACGUUCGCUGACCUCAAGCUUGCUCUUCAGUCGGCUCCUACUUUGGGUCUCCCUGAUCUGACCCUACGCGACCUUUCACUCAAACGGUGGAUGAGAAAUCAGGUUGUACGACUUCUGUUCUUUUGUCCUUAUACUUUGAUUCUUUUGGAAUAGAUCACAUCUUUCUACAGCCCGAUGGCUUAGAUGCAACACCACCUUGCUCAACAUGCUGAACGUUACUAUCAAGAGGUCGUCUUGAAGUCUGGCACUUUGCUAAGACACUACUCUGCUCAGGCUGCAGAGUUGAUCGCGUUGACUGAAGCUAGUAAACUAGCAGAAGGAAAGUCUGUCACCAUCUACACAGACUCCACAGAUGCUUGUGACACUUUGGGUUUCUGUGGAAGCAUAGGAAGCUUUAGAAGUCUGAUUGCAAACCUAUCUCACAUCAUGAUUAGGUUCUGCUUUGCUGGACGCUGUCCUGCUGCCUACAGCUAAUGCUGUUUGUAACCGUCCCACUCACAUCAUCAGUGACAACUUUGUUUCUGCCGACAUGCAGCUGCAUACGCUGCUGCGAAGGUCGCUGCCCAACAACCCCUCCCUCUCCUGAUCCUUGUUUCCUCUCCUGAUCCUUGUUCCCUCUCUCCAACUCUCUCUAUCCUUUCCUUCCUCUCUCCCUGUGCUUUAAACAUUUUUUACCUCACAGAAACGCAGACUCUGGCAGACGAAUGGUUCCACCUGUAGCCAUGGAGUCUGGUUUAGGCCUGAUGGCAGCCGUGCCGCCCAAACACUUUUUUUCCCCACAAUUCAGAUUUCCCAACAGUUGAAAACAGGCGACAGGACCAUUACACCAUCCAACCAGGAGACUGGGCGAUCGUUAAGGAGUUCAGGAGGAAGCACUGGGACUCCAAACGGUGGCGAGGCCCCUUCCAGGUCCUUCUGACGACCAACACGGCUGUAAAGAUCGCAGAGAGAGCGAUUUGGAUCCACUCCAUCCAGGAAGGUCCCGGAUCCGACAGACGACCCUCCAUCUACAUCUCACG